CCCCGCAGGUCGGGUCCCCGCGCCGUCUGCCGUGCCUUUUGUUUGCCUUUUUUUGGGCAAAACGUUGGUAGUCCUGCUCCGUGCGGUUUGAGAUCGGCGGUGGUGUCCCUUAGAGCCUCUCCUGCUUCCCUGCGCGUCUCGUGCGCAGGGUUCCUUUGGGCUCUGGAAAUCUACAGUUUUGUCAUCCUGAAGCCAAGGUACACUGUUCUUGAUGGAAGCACUCUCAAGGGUUGUUUCCUGACCAACUCCAGCUGCAGCAAAGAUGAUGUAAAACCAAGCUGUGACUCUGUCAGCUCCUACAGAAGGACAAGUCCAAGCUGAGAGUUGUGAGCUUGUGUCUGCAGUCACUGCCCAUUAUUCAAUAAAUUUCAAGUGCAUCGUCAGUCUGAUUGGACAGAUGAGGAUGUGUGUGCUCAGAAGCUGUCUAGUGCCAUAGCUACCACCUGACAAACAAUUCAUGGACCAUACUUCAACUACUACAUUCUGGGAAGGAUUAGUUAAGGAGAAAAAAACCCAAAAAAAACUACAUUCAACAGGAAACAGACUCCUUAUUGUGCCCCUUCAUUGUAUAUUCUCCGUGUUCCCUUUUCUGCUCAGUGGUGCAGGCCAGUUUGGGACACUCUAAAUUGUCAAGAGCAGCAAGGGGUUACCCGGAGUGUGCUUUGUUUGGCAAUACAGACGGCUUUUUUUGUUAACUGACUUGAACCCAUUGUCUGUGCACCCCCCUCCCAAACCUCUCUCCUGCCCUCACCACCCUUAUCCCCAGCCCAGCUCACCCUCCGCAGAUCCCCUUACUUUGGGUUCAUGAAGUACAAAUUAGCAUAAUCAGAUUAUCUGCAUGGGGUUGUUCAGCACGGAGCUGAAAAGGAAGAAAAGAAAAAGUGGCUCACAAAGAGAAGCCCUGAGGAGGGCAGAGCGGGUGGUAUUGCUGUUGUGCUGUGGUGCUGAAAACUUGCACCUGCAUAGCAAGCAGAUCCUCUUCUCACUAAGGACCCUUAGAUGGUAUUAAAGCAUAGGAAUUAAAGGGGGGAGGGUAAGGAUGCUGAAAGGAUGACAGGAGA